rnacentral:rRNA from 1 species
AUGUAUGCAGACACGAUCUACGUACAGGCGUUCGAGGACCGUAUGGACCUGCUCCGGGUGGCGAUGGUGGGCGCCAGUGGGACGCCGUAUCAGGAUGGGCUCUUCUUCUUUGACCUGCAGAUGCCGCCGUCCUACCCGGACGUGCCACCGCAAGUCUACUACCACGCUUUCGGCUUCCGUCUGAACCCAAAUUUGUAUACCGACGGUACGGUGUGCCUAAGCCUGCUCAAUACCUUCAGCGGCGAGGGCACCGAGGUCUGGGUGCCAGGGACAUCAAGCCUCCUUCAGGUCGUCGUCUCCAUCCAGGCCCUCGUCCUCAAUAGCCAGCCCUUCUACAACGAGGCCGGCUAUGAGCACCUGAUCGACAGACCAGAGGGCCACCGCCAUGAGCUGCCCUAUAAUGAGAACGCCUUCUUGCUCACUCUCCGGACCAUGAUCCACCUGUUGCGCCGGCCGCCGCAGGGCUUCGAUGGGUUUGUCAUGGACCAUUUCCGCCGACGUGGGAGGUCCGUGCUCGAAACGUGCGAGGCGUACCUGCAGGGAUGCGUGGACGCCGGUCAUGGGAGCAUGGAGCUGCCGUGCUCGACCGGCUUUAGGACCGCGCUUGCAAAUGUCAUGCCCAAGCUCACGACAGCAUUCGCGCAGAUUGGCGCCCUAGGGUGCGACCACUGCACUACCACCAAGCAUUAA